rnacentral:rRNA from 1 species
AGUCGAACGGCAGCGCGAGAGAGCUUGCUCUCUUGGCGGCGAGUGGCGGACGGGUGAGUAAUAUAUCGGAACGUGCCCAGUAGCGGGGGAUAACUACUCGAAAGAGUGGCUAAUACCGCAUACGCCCUACGGGGGAAAGGGGGGGAUCGCAAGACCUCUCACUAUUGGAGCGGCCGAUAUCGGAUUAGCUAGUUGGUGGGGUAAAGGCUCACCAAGGCAACGAUCCGUAGCUGGUUUGAGAGGACGACCAGCCACACUGGGACUGAGACACGGCCCAGACUCCUACGGGAGGCAGCAGUGGGGAAUUUUGGACAAUGGGGGAAACCCUGAUCCAGCCAUCCCGCGUGUAUGAUGAAGGCCUUCGGGUUGUAAAGUACUUUUGGCAGAGAAGAAAAGGUAUCCCCUAAUACGGGAUACUGCUGACGGUAUCUGCAGAAUAAGCACCGGCUAACUACGUGCCAGCAGCCGCGGUAAUACGUAGGGUGCAAGCGUUAAUCGGAAUUACUGGGCGUAAAGCGUGUGUAGGCGGUUCGGAAAGAAAGAUGUGAAAUCCCAGGGCUCAACCUUGGAACUGCAUUUUUAACUGCCGAGCUAGAGUAUGUCAGAGGGGGGUAGAAUUCCACGUGUAGCAGUGAAAUGCGUAGAUAUGUGGAGGAAUACCGAUGGCGAAGGCAGCCCCCUGGGAUAAUACUGACGC